rnacentral:rRNA from 2 species
GAGCUUGCUCUCUUUGUCGGCAAGCGGCAAACGGGUGAGUAAUAUCUGGGGAUCUACCCAAAAGAGGGGGAUAACUACUAGAAAUGGUAGCUAAUACCGCAUAAUGUUGAAAAACUAAAGUGGGGGACCUUUUAGGCCUCAUGCUUUUGGAUGAACCCAGACGAGAUUAGCUUGUUGGUAAGGUAAUGGCUUACCAAGGCUACGAUCUCUAGCUGGUCUGAGAGGAUAACCAGCCACACUGGAACUGAGACACGGUCCAGACUCCUACGGGAGGCAGCAGUGGGGAAUAUUGCACAAUGGGCGAAAGCCUGAUGCAGCUAUGCCGCGUGUAUGAAGAAGGCCUUAGGGUUGUAAAGUACUUUCAGCAGGGAGGAAAGAAAUAAAACUAAUAAUUUUAUUUCGUGACGUUACCCGCAGAAG